GUCAACUUGCUAACAUAAGCUGAACUAUGAUGGUGAACAUGGCAGGUAUUAAACCAACUUGUUAAACAUCAUCGUGAAAGCAUGCAGCAAGUUAGCACGGGCCCAAAGCAGCUGUACAGCCUCACAGAGUGACUGGCAUGGCUGUACUCAAGUUUCGGGUUAUUUCACUUCAAAUUGGAUUGUAUUGACAUUCUACAUGUUACAGGUUAGACCUUAUAUAAUUCAAAUUGACUCCUUUUAGACCUAAUUAAACCAUCAUAUUUAUAGCAGUAAAACAUGCCCUGUAAACAGGCUUUUGGUAAGUAAAAUACAAUUGAGUAAUAAUAAUUAAAUCAUUUUAAAGAUCUGAUCUGAUUCAUCUGGGGGAAAGGCGGUUGGUUAGGUGGAAGAAAAAUAAAAACAAGGGCACAAAAUAAGCCCUCAUUUGUAACAAAGACCAAUAUAAAUCUGUGAAACCCUCAUACUAAUCAUAACGAGCAUAACAACCAAAUGGAAAUCCCUGAACCCUCCUUCAGGCCACACACUGUUUGAAGAAUCAGGAAAUUGCCUGCCACUCAUAAUGAUGUCACUGCGCAUAAUAAAGUAGUCUGCAGCUCACACACAGCCCGGAGAGAGAGGCAGGCAGUCAGCAGUGCGAGUGCAGCAGCCAGUGGGAUGAACUGAGUUUACACGAAAGGGGGGAAAAUCUAAUAAGUGACCGAGACAACCUAUUGGGAUUUGCCUAAGGAUCUGUCGGUUGGAAGCGUCUCCACCAGCCUCCGCAGAUAACUGGAGCGAAAGACAAGAAAGGAGACAUCGCACAUCGGCCGAGUUGCCACUUGUCCUUUUUAUACCACAGGAGCCAUGGUGGCAGCAGUCCUGAAGAUAUACUUUAUUGGCACGGCGCUGAGUGUCCUUGCUGUCCUCUUUGGAUUAGCGGACUCCUUUGGUGGUCUGAUGUACGUCCAGGAGGACAUUCACUACAUUUUGGAGCUGGACCACCGGACAGAGACAAAGGGGGGAGUCUCCUCAGGCGACCACCAGAGAUCAUCUGUGACUAAAAACAUCGGCUCAUGAGAUGGGGGGGGGAACUCAUGUGGAAAGUGGGUCCCAUUUUUCUAAGCGUGGCUGCUGGAUGGACACGCUGGACAUUGUGUGGCUAAUGGACUGACGGACAGUGAACCUGAAUGAUUGUGCUGUUUCUACUGCCGAGUAUCAACAUCAUGGUGAUGGCUAACUUGCUGGACGUGUUCUUCUCCUUUUUUUUUUUUUUUAUGUCUCGCCCUAGACUAGUUUGUUGAUAUGGAUGCAUAAUCCCUGCAGCACGUCUCUGUUUUGCUCUUCUGUGUACCAUCUGCUGUUAAACACUGUAGCAGCUAGCUUGUGUUAAAGGCAACUACAAAUCUGACGUGUAACUGUAACCGCACUACUGAACACUGAUUUGCACUAAAACUUAGGAAUGUUUUGGCUUUUGUCAGGAAAAAUGUGGAUUUUGAGGUUGUUGUGUUUUUUUAAUAAAAUGAAUUACGUGUUGCAA